ensembl:lncRNA
CGCCUGGCCUGAAGGGCAUCAGUCCUCACACAGCGGGCAGCCUGAAGUACCCUGGGAGGCCAAGACCCACUGGAGGUGCAGGGGGCAGAGUCACAGUAACGAGGAGGAUGGGGUCCACAGCCUGACUGCCUGGAUUCCAAUCCCAGCAACGCCCACACCCCCCUGCCCAACUUGCUAGCUGACUAUCUCCAGCACCAAGAUAGUCAGUUUCUUCAUCUAUCAAAUAGCAAAGCCUGCUUCAUAGGGCCACUUGGAGAUUCCAUGAGAUGCAGUUCCAGUAUCCAGCACAUUGCCUGACCCACAGAGAGUGCUCAAUAAAUGAGUGAUAAUAUUAUUGAGGUUGUUGAGCCAGAGUGUGGUGAAGGUAAUGAAGAGGGAGGUGGGGAGCAUCAGGAAGGACCUGGAAUAUCCCAUCAAGGGGUUUUGGUGUCUCUAGAGAUGACAGAGAUAACUGUGUGUGCUCAGUUGUUUCAGUUGUGUCCGACUCUUUGUGACCCCAAGGACUGCAGCCCACCAGGUUCUUCCUAGCAAGAAUUUGCUAGCAAGAAUAUUGGAGUGGGUUGUCAUGCCGUCCUCCAGGGGAUGUUCCCAACCCAGAGGUCCAACCUGUAUCUCCACCUCUGAGCCACCAGGGAAGCCCAGAGGGCGAUGGGGGCUUUUAAAUAGGGAGCGACACCAACAGAAACGCAAAGAUGUUUUAAACCCGGCGGGUGGUGGCACCACUAACCAGCCAGGAGGACCACAGGCUCCUGCACUCUGGUGAGUCCUACCACCCCGCUCUCCAUACACCCUCCUACCUCAGACCUCUUCAGGUACUGUACCCUCUGCCUGAAACGCUUCCACCCACACAGCAAAGCAGCUCCCUCCCUCACUACCAAAAGUAGUUUUUCUUUGGUUUAUCUGUUUAUCCAGGGUCUUUCCCAUCAGAAUAUCAGCAACAUGAGUGCAGAAGCUUGCUCACUGCUGUGUCUUCAGUGCCCGGCUCAUGGCCUGGCACACAGUAGGUACUCAAUGAACUUUUGUUGCAUGAAUGCCAAGGAGGUUGGGCAGCAAGUGAAGGUUAUUUCAUCCAUCUCCCACCCCAAAUCCUGGAAUCUGGGCCUCCCCCAUCACCCCCAGGUCUUGGUGCAUCAUAAGAACCUCGGUACAGGUGAUUAUUUGAUUACAGAAAUUUCAGAUCCCUCUUAAGUUUAAUUUUAGUUUAGGAAACAUAAGCUCAGGUGACCAUUGUUCAUCCUCAGUCAGUCUGCUGCUUUCUUGGGCUGCCCUGAGGCCCUCCCUUCUCAGUGCUCCCCUGGCCUUUAAACUCUAAGUGGGAAGGGUCAUUCCCACCAGCCGGGGGUGGGUCCUCCUGGCCAGUAAUCUUCAAGACCAGAAGGAGCUGGACACAGACUGUCCAGAGUCACAUCCAGCUCCCCCUACUCUGGCUGUGUGUCCUUGGACAAGCUGCCUGACUUCUCUGAACUUGUUUCCUCCCCGAGGAUUAAGUGAGC